UCGCUGACGAGUGGCGGACGGGUGAGUAAUGUCUGGGAAACUGCCUGAUGGAGGGGGAUAACUACUGGAAACGGUAGCUAAUACCGCAUAACGUCGCAAGACCAAAGACGGGGACCUUCGGGCCUCUUGCCAUCAGAUGUGCCCAGAUGGGAUUAGCUAGUAGGUGGGGUAACGGCUCACCUAGGCGACGAUCCCUAGCUGGUCUGAGAGGAUGACCAGCCACACUGGAACUGAGACACGGUCCAGACUCCUACGGGAGGCAGCAGUGGGGAAUAUUGCACAAUGGGCGCAAGCCCGAUGCAGCCAUGCCGCGUGUAUGAAGAAGGCCUUCGGGUUGUAAAGUACUUUCAGCGGGGAGGAAGGGAGUAAAGUUAAUACCUUUGCUCAUUGACGUUACCCGCAGAAGAAGCACCGGCUAACUCCGUGCCAGCAGCCGCGGUAAUACGGAGGGUGCAAGCGUUAAUCGGAAUUACUGGGCGUAAAGCGCACGCAGGCGGUUUGUUAAGUCAGAUGUGAAAUCCCCGGGCUCAACCUGGGAACUGCAUCUGAUACUGGCAAGCUUGAGUCUCGUAGAGGGGGGUAGAAUUCCAGGUGUAGCGGUGAAAUGCGUAGAGAUCUGGAGGAAUACCGGUGGCGAAAGCGGCCCCCUGGAUAGUCCACGCCGUAAACGAUGUCGACUUGGAGGUUGUGCCCUUGAGGCGUGGCUUCCGGAGCUAACGCGUUAAGUCGACCGCCUGGGGAGUACGGCCGCAAGGUUAAAACUCAAAUGAAUUGACGGGGGCCCGCACAAGCGGUGGAGCAUGUGGUUUAAUUCGAUGCAACGCGAAGAACCUUACCUGGUCUUGACAUCCACGGAAGUUUUCAGAGAUGAGAAUGUGCCUUCGGGAACCGUGAGACAGGUGCUGCAUGGCUGUCGUCAGCUCGUGUUGUGAAAUGCUGGGUUAAGUCCCGCAACGAGCGCAACCCUUAUCCUUUGUUGCCAGCGGUCCGGCCGGGAACUCAAAGGAGACUGCCAGUGAUAAACUGGAGGAAGGUGGGGAUGACGUCAAGUCAUCAUGGCCCUUACGACCAGGGCUACACACGUGCUACAAUGGCGCAUACAAAGAGAAGCGACCUCGCGAGAGCAAGCGGACCUCAUAAAGUGCGUCGUAGUCCGGAUUGGAGUCUGCAACUCGACUCCAUGAAGUCGGAAUCGCUAGUAAUCGUGGAUCAGAAUGCCACGGUGAAUACGUUCCCGGGCCUUGUACACACCGCCCGUCACACCAUGGGAGUGGGUUGCAAAAGAAGUAGGUAGCUUAAUCUUCGGGAGGGCGCUUACCACUUUGUGAUUCAUGACUGGGGUGAAGUCGUAACAAGGUAACCAA
rnacentral:rRNA from 1 species